GAAAUAACAUAUAUUUUCUAUAAGUGAACAAGAAAAAAACUUAAACAGCUCAAACUCCAAACUAAUCCAUGGUCAAAAGACUUGCUCGAUCUGUACAAUUUAGGACUGAAAAAAUUAAGUGAAAAAACCUGAAACAGAUAUCAAAAGAAGAAUGGGGACCAAAAAGCUCGAGGACUCCUCCCACCCACACAGAAAGACCGGCUUUUAACAAAGUACUCACACCAAUUAGCGAUGAGCUUGUCUACAAACCCAAUGCAAGAAAACCAACUCCCUGCUACAAUAAAAGUUUGCAAUCUUAGAUAACAUCUUCAAUAGACUGCACAGGCAUUAAAACAUAUCUUAGCAGUCUAUUUCAACAUCAUUAUCACAUAAAUCUUGUUGCAACACCCAACGAGAAAUCUCUCUCAGAGCCCCAGCUUCAGCCAUCCUUCCUAGGCGUUUGAGAAACCUGAAAUGAACAGCCCAAGGACCACAUCGAGACACACCAAUUUGUCUUCUGGAAUUGCCAAGAGCAGCGCCUAUUUUGCACUUGUACCUGCCUUCGACAGGCUUCUGCCAUCCAGUUGGACCUGCAUGCACGCAAAUUAAUUGACGGGGAGGUGAGGCCACUUUCAA
rnacentral:lncRNA from 1 species